ensembl:lncRNA
CUCUGGACAUCUUGCCCUUUAUUUACUGAAAAGAAGACAACAUCUUUUCUCAGGGCUGAAACCCCUAUUGCAGUUCCAACACGUGUCUAUUUAUCAGGAGAAAAGCUGAAUAUUUCCACUAUCACAAGAUUAUUGCCAGUGCUCGGAUUUUUCCCUAACCUCCAGCUAAAAUCCUCUGAGCUAACGCUCUGAAAAUGGAACGGCAUACCAAAUCUGCGCUCUGGCUCUCAGAGGUGGAGGCCCACCCUUUCUCCCAAUAAACAAUUUUGCAUACGUUUAAACCUCCCUCCUCUGGUUUCCCAACUCCUCCUGCCUGACCCCCCCAGCAAAGAAAUUACGGAAAUCUGUCAUUUCUCUCUUUUCCGUCGCACCUCCAUCUAUCAGUGUUUCAAAGGCAGUCUCCUCAAAUGCAGAGCAGAGCAGGAGAUGGGCAGCGGUAAUGGGAAUGUGCUCCUGACUGUGCAAACCCACACAGAGAGUGAGGACAGGAGAGACUGCAUUUGCAUACAUAUUAAACGAGAGCAGUAAAAAAUGCAGACGUGCAAACCAUUUGGACAUGGCUCGCCUCGGCAAUGUGCCCUGCAAGGGAAUCAAUCUUCUGCAUUCUUAAAGGGAAAAACCUGUUACGGAGCGAAAAGCAAAGCCAGAAAGACGUCCGCUUACAAACACGGUCAAGGUUUGAAGACGAUCUGACCUUCUGCCUUUGCCAACCACGACCUGCUGUGCAAAGGUACACAUAGGAGGGUGAGACCUGGCAUGAACCAACUGCUGUCACUGGUGAGAGAUCUCCCAGGACCCCAUCCUGAGUGGGAACUGGAGCAAGAGUUCCAAGCUCCACGUGCCCACCUGUGAGGGCAACGCAGAGACCUUCCUGAGAUGGCCCAAGCCAGGCUGCAGGGAAGAACUAAGUGACAUCUGGAUAUGCUGAAGAAGCCCAAACCCUGUGUCCCAGUGCCUUCACCUACUGAAAAGUGCACCGAGUCAUGGGAAGCAAAGCAGUACCUCAUCAUCCUCUGCUUCUCUACCAACCUCCAGAACCAACAAAUAAGCCCUGGAUGGAAAAGCAGACAAAACGCGCUUCCCAGCAGCCCGUCCAGUGUGGAUUCUCUGGUGUCUCGUAAAGGAAAGGGCAGCAGAGAGAAUCGCAAAGAGGGAACCCGGGGGUUUCCCCCCAGAAGCGGGAUCUGUGCCUCGCCAGAGACACGAAGGCAGAGCAAAGCAGAGUUCAAGAAAACAACAGAAAGACGUUAUUGAACAGCUGUCAUUUGGCAAGUAUAAAUGUAUCAGCGAUUGUGUUGAUAGCAGGCUCUUAUCAAUGCAGAUUAAUUUGAUAAUUGCCCGUGCAGAGAAAGAAAACAAACCAACUAAGUCCAUUGCCACUGACAUCCGAAACGCCUCCCUUGGUUAAAUGAAUUUCCUUUUUUAACUUAUCUUGAAGUAAUACGAAAGUUAUGGUGUAGCCACAAUCAAAAACCACCCCCCCCAUGUUAUUCCCUUUUUGACCUAUCUCAUUUUUGGCAUCAGCCCGACAGCCCGGAGCAAUGGAGGGCCAAGGGCUUUAUUUGUCCCUUUGGGGAGGAUGAAAAGGCUGUAGAAAAAAUGGCAGUUUUGCUGAGGACCCCAUCCUUCAGCCUCCCCAUGGUGCAGCUCACACGUCCCACACUGGCGGCUGCAGGGAGCGCGUGCUGGGGCAGCACUCAGCGAUGUCAAACGCACCCUGCAAAUGGCCCCAGAUGACAUUUUUAGAGAGGCUCUGUUAUCGGAGCCUACGGAAUUAGCACCGUGCAACAUCCUCGGGCUGCAAGACGGCUCCUGCCAACGUCAAUGGCGGUGUGGUAUGGAGAUCAAAGGUAAAGCGCAGCCAAGGAACUGGUUUGGCUGGUGGGAGGGCAUGGGGGGAGCAGCCCCACCAAACCUCAAAAUGCUCCGGAAUGAAGACUUAUCCCUUGCCACUUGCCUAAAUUAGGCAACCUACGUGUGCAAUUCUUCAGGAAUACCCGCGAGUCGUUUAUCUGAAAAUGCAGCGCUAAAAGCAUUGCCCUUCUGACGAAGAGUUAAUCGCCCUGGGAAUAAAUCAGAGGUCUCACCCAUGCUGUGGGACUUCUCCCAGUGACACCACGUUCCCACUUGGAAACGAGUUUCUUUGUUUGCUUUUCCCCAGUUAUAUAAGGGACAUAAAUUUUUUGUUGCGGAGAGAACUCCAGGCAAUCCGCAUCUCCCUCCAAGGCGUUUCACUGUGGUUCAGCUUUAACACUGCUGCUGUUGCUGCAGUUUUCCAGCUUCUGCCUAUGUCUGCACUAAACCCCCCGCCCCAGGAAGUAACAGCCCGCAUGAAACAUCACUGCCUGACUCCAACCCCACAGAGCAAAGCCCUUUUGCACCCGCUGAUCCCUAUCCUACAAAGCAAAGAGGUUGAGAACAGAGAAGCUUAGGCCAGCACGAGGACGUGCCCAGUGAUGCUCCCCUGUGCAAGAGCACUUUGGGUGAGCAAAGCGGUGGAACCCAAGCAAACUCUGCUUUGCCACUUGACCCUUUUCCACAUCUCCCACAGCCCCCGGCUUUGCUCUCCUGGCAGCUCUGAGCUCCCCAGCCCCAUCCCUCAGCUCUGAAGGGGAGAGCUGGGGAGGGGAGGCCAUGCCGGGAAGGUCUCAGCGAGGGCUGGGAAGGUCUCAGCAAGGGCUGGGUGCUCACGGCCGGCCGGCGCCGCAUUGCACGCAUACCAGCAAACCUCAGCAGCCCCGGAAGGGGAGCGCGGAUGCUCCCAGGCCAGGCUGCAAGGAAGUCUUAACCCCUUCCCCACUAUGGCCAAGAGGCUCCUUGAGAGCUGGAAGUCAGCGGGAGAGAGGAAUUCACUUAAAGGCCGAGCAUCCCGAUGCCACAUCCCUCCCUUCCUCAUGCUAGUCUAAAAAAUCCCUGGGAACACGGCUCUCCUCUUCCCCUUCCCAUGGCCCCGAGGGGGGGCAGGGGACAAUCCUCAGCCCUAGCCAGAAGCCAUAUGCGCUCCCAGCACAGCCCAGGUGCUGCAGAGCCCAGGGUACCUCUGCCCAGAGUCAAGGACUGUGAAACCCAUACCCUGGGGGACCCAAGGGAUGGCCGCAGACUGGUGAGGUUCACUCUGCACCCUGAGGGCACUGUGCGCUCCCGUGUUAACAGUGCCUAAAAUCAUGACAUCAAGGAGGGCUUCUCAUCAAUGUGGGUGAAGGAGAAACCCCCCAAAUGGGGUUUGCCCUCAGGUGGGUCAGUGUGAUCCCCCUGUGACUCAAGGCAGGUUGCUGCACAUGGCUGACUGCACCAGCCAAGUGCCACCCCACGUCCCUGUGUGCCCAGGGAUAUCUGGCCACCCCAUCUCCACAGCCCCUUUCUCAGCACAGUUUCUCACAACAGCUUAUUUAGUGCAGCAAAACCACACUUGUAGAUCCAACACUACAGCAAAGACUUUUCCUUUUUUUUUUUUUUUUUCCCCUUCCUUUUUUAAUUUUUUUGUUCUGAUUAAGAGGAAAUGAAUGGACCAAACCCUUCCCAGCGCCAGUAAGAUCCCUGAAACCCGUGGCUGAGCAGAAGGAGCAGCAGCACUCAGGGCUGCCCUCCCGGCACAGCACAGGGCCGGCGCUGCCCUUCAGCCCCGCUCAGUUCUCUCCAGCAGCACUGGGAUCAGAUCAGGCCCAACAGGAUUAACCACAUAACAGCGAGGGGAAAGCAGAUUUGCCGUCUGAAAAGAAAGGCACAAAACACACCCAGCCACCAAAGCCGGCGUUAAAGGACCUCGGUUCAGAAGUUGCCACCGAAUUUAGCUUUUCUAAAACUGAGGUUUCGGAUUUUUGCAAGAUCGAAUCAGACCCCUUCAACACAAAUUAAUAACCAAAGGCCCACAGAAAUGUUUCCGUAAACUAUUCCUUAAAUCCGAAGGAAACCAUUUGUUUAAAUGAAGCAAGUGUUCCCCUGCAGAGCCGGCACUCCAGUAACUGCAGUGCGAUGAUAGAAAAUGGGGCCGAGUAGUAAAAAUAACUUAAAACUAUUCUAAACAACCAGCAAGCUGAGUAAUCUGUUUCAAAGUCCAAGUGGAGACAUCCCGGUGACAGGGCCCACAGAAAACGCGAAGGUGCAUAGUUAAAAGGGGAGGGGAGCAACCAAAACAAACAGUAAAAAUAGUACGAAUUCCUUCAGAUGCUAUUGGUGACAAAAGAUGAAAGCUGGGAUUUUCAUCCUCUUUCCAACAUCCCUGCUGCUGCCAGGCCCGGGGGCUUCUCCAGCGCUCCAUCACGCUCCUAACGCCAAUCCCUGGGUGUGGAGCAAACACUGAACACCGGAGCACCGUGUUCCUCCGAGAAAUCAAAGGGGAAUACAGGCACCCUCUCCCCAGCUGGUAGCAGCCAGCGCAACCCCAUGAAGAACAAGGGAAGGAAAGGCCAAGCCCUGAUCUCUCGGGCUUUUGUGCUCCAGUCUUACUUGUAUACACUGCUCUCACGUUACAAAACGUGUAUGUCGCUGUACUGAUGGCAAGGUGCCAUG